AGAGUGAACGCUGGCGGCAGGCCUAACACAUGCAAGUCGAGCGGCAGCGCGGGGGCAACCCUGGCGGCGAGCGGCGGACGGGUGAGGAAUACAUCGGAAUCUACCUUGUUGUGGGGGAUAACGUAGGGAAACUUACGCUAAUACCGCAUACGACCUGAGGGUGAAAGCGGGGGACCGCAAGGCCUCGCGCGACAAGAUGAGCCGAUGUCCGGCUAGCUAGUUGGUGAGGUAAAGGCUCACCAAGGCGACGAUCGGUAGCUGGUCUGAGAGGAUGAUCAGCCACACUGGAACUGAGACACGGUCCAGACUCCUACGGGAGGCAGCAGUGGGAAUAUGGACAAGUGGGGGCAACCCGUGAUCCAGCCGAUGCCGCGUGUGUGAAGGAAGGCCGUUCGGUUGUAAAGUCUACGUUUGUCCGGUAAGAAAUCUCUACGUAUUUAAGUACGUA
rnacentral:rRNA from 1 species